GCUCAGCUAGUUUAGUCGGUAGAGCAUGAGACUCUUAAUCUCAGGGUCGUGGGUUGGAGCCCCACGUUGGGUG
rfam:Danio rerio chromosome 4, GRCz11 reference primary assembly.